AUACGGAGGGAGCGAGCGUUAAUCGGAAUUACUGGGCGUAAAGCGCGCGUAGGCGGCUUUGUAAGUUGGGCGUGAAAUCCCCGGGCUCAACCUGGGAACUGCAUUCGAUACUGGCAGGCUAGAGUAUAGUAGAGGCAAGUGGAAUUCCGGGUGUAGCGGUGAAAUGCGUAGAUAUCCGGAGGAACAUCAGUGGCGAAGGCGACUUGCUGGACUAAUACUGACGCUGAGGAGCGAAAGCGUGGGGAGCAAACGGGAUUAGAAACCCCAGUAGUCC
rnacentral:rRNA from 1 species